rnacentral:rRNA from 1 species
CUUGAAACACGGACCAAGGAGUUUAGCGUGUGCGCGAGUCAUUGGGUGUCAAAACCUAAAGGCGUAAUGAAAGUGAAGGAAACUUUGUUUUUGAGGGAGGAUGGGUUAGGUACCUUUUUUAAAGGACCGGCCUCGCACUCCCGGGGCGUCUCUAUCUCAUUGCGAGAGGAGGCGCACCUAGAGCGUACACGCUGAUACCCGAAAGAUGGUGAACUAUGCCUGGCCAGGACGAAGCCAGGGGAAACCCUGGUGGAGGUCCGCAGCGAUUCUGACGUGCAAAUCGAUCGUCGGAGCUGGGUUUAGGGGCGAAAGACCAAUCGAACCAUCUAGUAGCUGGUUCCCUCUGAAGUUUCCCUCAGGAUAGCUUGCGCUCGGAAACAACGAGUCUCAUCCGGUAGAGCGAAUGAUUAGAGGCCUUGGGGUCGAAACGACCUCAACCUAUUCUCAAACUCCAAAUAGAUGAGAACCCCGGCUUUCUUGAACUCUGUUUAUGAAGCCGGGGGCUCGGAUCAGAGUGCCAAGUGGGCCAAUUUUGGUAAGCAGAACUGGCGCU